GGGCGCAUAGCUCAGUUGGUUAGAGCACAUUCCUGAUAAGAAUGAGGUCACUGGUUCGAGACCAGUUGCGCCCACCA
rnacentral:tRNA from 1 species